GAUCCUUUAAUUUUGGGGAAAAUAAAAGCCUGCGGCACUAAUAAUACAUGCUAGGGAGAUGUAGGUUACAUCCCGCACAGGUGAGUAAUAAUUCGACGCGGCCCGGUUGGACCUUGAAAUCAAGGAUAUUAAAAUAUCCGACCGCGCAUAGCCGCGCGCUAUAGCCAACCGCGCGCUCGGGUUCGUAUUAGGUAGGUAAAAUGUCUUGCCAAAGAUGCGUAGCUGAGAGGCCACACUUUCACUGGAAUAAGGGGGAGACCCGCAGGGGGCAGCAGUAGAGAAUUUUGUGCAAUGUAUGAAAGUACGACACAGAGAUGUCGCAGGAAGACUGUCUAAUAUACGUGCCAGCAGACGCGGUUAUACGUAAGGUCUGAGUUUUUAUUGGUAAAGGCGUAAAGGGUGUGUAGGCAAAAGGAAAUUUAAGGGGGUAAAUGGAGCUCUUAUGUAGUGGUAGAAUAUGUUAAUAUAAGAUGAAACACCAAAGGCGCAGGCAAUUUACUACUAUAAAUUUAAACGCGCUGAAACACGAAAGUGGGGGGAGCAAACAGGAUUAGAUACCCUGGUAGUCCUCACUGUAAACCAUGGAGGUAUGAUCCCGAGGGGGUCAACAAUAACUUUAGAGCGUCCCGCCUGAAGAGUACGAUCGCAAGAUUAAAAUUCAAAAAAUUUGGCGGUUCACUAACCAAUUAGAGGAGCGUGUGGUUUAAUUCGAUACUCCGCGAAUAACCUUACCAAAACUUGAAUAUUCUAAUACAGGUAUUGCAUGGCCGUCGUCAGUUUGUGUUGUGAAAGGAAUAGAACGAACUAAACCCUAGUCCCUAGGUACUAUUAAGUACUAUUAAUCCCUGCAGCUUAAUCGUGGGAGGGGGGGCCAGAGGACGAAGUCAGGUCCUUAUGAUCCUAAUGUUUUGGGCGGCACAUGCGCUACAAUAAAUUAUACAAAGAGAGUGGAGUGCUCUAAAGUGAAAUUUCGGAAUUCUUUUUGAAAUAAAGGCAUGAAGUUGGAUUUAAUAGUAAUCGAGGAGUAGAGUGCUUCGGUGAAUACGGCUCUAGUGUUCGUACAAAUCGCCCGUCACCUCUACCAAGUAAUGACUCCCAAAGUAACUAUCUCGGCUAAAGAAGAAGAUACGGACGGAAGGGGGGACUCGAAAGUUGUAUGGAGUCUCUUUAGUAGUGAAGAGCUCGUUAUUACGGAGGCAAAAUAAGGUUGAGGAAGUCGUAACACAGUGAGGGUAUUGGAAAAUGUCCUCGGAUUAAU
rnacentral:rRNA from 1 species